GACGAACGCUGGCGGCGUGCUUAACACAUGCAAGUCGAACGGAAAGGCCCUGCUUUUGUGGGGUGCUCGAGUGGCGAACGGGUGAGUAACACGUGAGUAACCUGCCCUUGACUUUGGGAUAACUUCAGGAAACUGGGGCAAUUACCGGAUAGGAGCUCCGGCUGAAGGGGGGGGGUGGGAAAGUUUCGGCGGUUGGGGAGGGACUCGCGGCUUAUCAGCUUGUGGGUGGGGUAGUGGCUUACCAAGGCUUUGACGGGUAGCCGGCCUGAGAGGGUGACCGGCCACAUUGGGACUGAGAUACGGCCCAGACUCCUACGGGAGGCAGCAGUGGGGAAUAUUGCACAAUGGGCGGAAGCCUGAUGCAGCAACGCCGCGUGCGGGAUGACGGCCUUCGGGUUGUAAACCGCUUUCGCCUGUGACGAAGCGUGAGUGACGGUAAUGGGUAAAGAAGCACCGGCUAACUACGUG
rnacentral:rRNA from 1 species